rnacentral:misc_RNA from 1 species
AUCUUCUAGAGAACCUUGGAUAACUGAUUGGUGGUUUCAUGUGUUCUAAAUUAUAGGUUUCUAAAUUGGCAUGGCAGAAUUUAAGAUGAGUCAAGGUCCUUACAAGAAAAAGGACAAGGAUUUACAGUCAAUAAGAUUCCUUGUUUGUUAACCCAUUGGGCAUUGGCUGCUACCCUUGAAUCUCCCUGUUUGUCAACAAAAAAAAAGAGGUUCAACAUUGUGAUCAUGCUAUCAUAAUUGGAAGUUGUGCUUAUGUUGCCUAUAACAUCAAAUGUGGGGUAUCUGGUUAUCCCUCCAAAAUAAGGCAAUGACCACACGUUUAACGCGGAUCAUUCGUUUUGUCAUAGAACUUGACCCAUUCCAUCUUCUGGAUUGCUAUGAUUGGCAUUACCUGUGUAAUGACCGAGAAGAUGCGGCCUACAUGAACAUCAUUUAGGCGGCCAGCAUCAUUCGACUACCCAACCGACUUCUACUACCCUGCUCUCAACACAACACGGAGUUUAACCCUUUAGAUUUUUGGCUGUUCGCGAUGUGUGAUGGCGUUUCCUUGGACGAGAUGUUGAUUUUGGCGAAAAAAAUAUUGCGGACGAUUUUCAUGCUGUCAUUCACCGAUGCUAUUUUUGUGCGUGCCGGCCUUCCGUCGCCUCGAGGCAUGGGGGAGUUGUGCCUGUUCCAGCUACCCUGCCAGCAUAAUUCGACUUCCCAACCGACAGCCUGGUCAAAUUUCAAUUUCACUGACCCCUAUUACACCUGCACUCAACCCAGUUCUCACGGAGUUUUGAUCUUAAUGGCUGUAUCAUGGCCUCAGAUCGUUUUUCAGCUGUCAGAAGCACCAGCUUCAGUUACUUUUAUUUUGGACAUUUCUAAAGACAUUUAUCGGAGUUGCUGUUGAGAGAUCAGUCGAGUGAGCAUCUCCGACACGGCAACAACUGCAGCGCACUUUUUGUGCCUUCUGUACGAUAAGAUUUGCCUUAUCAGUUCGCAAUUAUGGGCGAGUGAGCAUCUCCGACACUUCAACAACUGCAUCCUUCGUCGUAUUACCAGUUCACAAUGAUGGUAAACUAUGCCGUCUUGCUGCACUGCUGCUAUUGGUUGUUGUAUUGCUGAUGGCUGGGUCGAUCAAGGGUGUAGCGAUGUCUCCUGGGUAUGGUGAAUAUUAAGAAACAGCAGCGAAAGAAUACUUUACCACGCCGCCUCCUUAUUAAACAACAACGUCAAUACCUACUUACUAUACGGAGGCCUUCAAGUACUACACUACCAAGGCUCCUGAGUUUAAACUGCAACCUACGCUGCUCCAUCUUAGGAAACAUGGUUUACUUGGUCGUGCUGCUGUUGGGUGUUAUAUCAUUGAUGGCUGGGUCGACCACUGGUGUGCCGAUGUCUCCUGGUUAUAGCCCCCAAGUACACCACCGAGUUGUCUGCCCCAGCCUACUUCACCGACCCGUUUAAGUACGACUCUGCUCCAAGCUACUACCAAACUGAGGCUCCUGUUUACUACACCAAGGUCACCGAGUAUUACACUACAACCAUUCUAACUAUCUUGCUGCUGUUCGUUUUGGUAUCCUUGAUGGUUGGGUCGACUACUGGUGUACCGAUGUCUCGUAGGUUUGGUAGAUACCAAACCACAACGCCGGCGUCUUACCACACAACAACCACGAAGGCAGCGGAGUCCUACACCACCAAGGCAGCGGAGUCCUACACCACCAAGGCAGCGGAGUCCUACACCAACAAAUCCAAUCCAAACUCCAACAAAUCUUAUUGGUAAAAGGCAAUUGGCUGAUCUUUGUGUAAAUGAUAGACUUUGAAGUUGAGAGAAAUAUAUUGAUACAAUUCCUAAA